UACGUAGGGGGCAAGCGUUGUCCGGAUUUACUGGGCGUAAAGCGCGCGUAGGCGGAACGAUCAGUCCGGUCUGAAAGCCCCCGGCUCAACCGGGGAGGGUGGCUGGAAACUGUCGUUCUUGAGGGCGAGAGAGGAGGGUGGAAUUCCUGGUGUAGCGGUGAAAUGCGUAGAUAUCUGGAGGAACACCGGUGGCGAAGGCGGCAUCCUGGACCACGACUGACACUGAAAAGCGAAAGCCAGGGGAGCAGACGGG
rnacentral:rRNA from 1 species